UGGCCCGUAGUGUAACGGCAACACCCCAGUUUUUGGUACUGGUAUUCCUGGUUCGAAUCCAGGCGGGCCAG
rnacentral:tRNA from 1 species